rnacentral:rRNA from 1 species
CGCGUAGGCGGUCUGGACAGUCAGAUGUGAAAUUCCUGGGCUCAACCUGGGGACUGCAUUUGAUACGUUUGGACUGGAGUGGGGAAGAGGGUCGUGGAAUUUCCAGUGUAGAGGUGAAAUUCGUAGAUAUUGGAAAGAACACCGGUGGCGAAGGCGGCGACCUGGUCCUUGACUGACGCUGAGGCGCGAAAGCGUGGGGAGCAAACAGGAUUAGAUACCCUGGUAGUCCACGCUGUAAACGAUGUGUGCUGGAUGUUGGGCGGCCUAGCCGUUCAGUGUCGUAGCUAACGCGAUAAGCACACCGCCUGGGGAGUACGGCCGCAAGGUUGAAA